CCUACGGGCGGCAGCAGUGAGGAAUAUUGGUCAAUGGACGGAAGUCUGAACCAGCCAUGCCGCGUGCAGGCAGACGGCUCUAUGAGUUGUAAACUUCUUUUGUACAAGGGUAAACCUGAAUACGUGUAUUCAGCUGAAAGUACUUUACGAAUAAGGAUCGGCUAACUCCGUGCCAGCAGCCGCGGUAAUACGGAGGAUCCAAGCGUUAUCCGGAUUUAUUGGGUUUAAAGGGUGCGUAGGCGGAUUGAUAAGUUAGAGGUGAAAUGUUCGGGCUUAACUCGGGAACUGCCACUAAUACUGGUGGUCUAGAGAGUAGAUGAGGUAGGCGGAAUGUAUGGUGUAGCGGUGAAAUGCUUAGAGAUCAUACAGAACACCGAUUGCGAAGGCAGCUUACCAAUCUAUAUCUGACGUUGAGGCACGAAAGCGUGGGGAGCAAACAGGAUUAGAUACCCGGGUAGUC
rnacentral:rRNA from 1 species